rnacentral:rRNA from 1 species
AACGAACGCUGGCGGCGUGCCUAAUACAUGCAAGUCGAACGCUGAAGGCGGAGUUUGCUUCUCAGGAUUAGUUGAGAACGGGUGAGUAGCGCGUUGGUCUCCUGUCUGGUAGCGGGGGAAAACCAUUGGACACGAUAGCUCUUACCGCAUAAGAGUUGAUGUUGCAUGACAUUUGCUUGAAAGGUGCACUUGUAUCACUACCAGAUGGCCAUGCGUUGUAUUAGCUAGUUGGUGAGUUAACGGCUCAUCAAGGCAACGAUAGCUAGCCGACCUGAGAGGGUGAUUGGGCACACGGUGACUGAGACACGUCCCAGACUCCGACGGGAGGCAGCAGUAGGGAAUCUUCGGCAAUGGACGGAAGGCGGACCGAGCAAAGCCGCGGGAGUGAAGAAGGUUUUCGGAUCGGAAAGCUCUGUUGGAAGAGAAGAACGAAUGUGAGAGUAGAAAGGACACACUGGGAGGGAACCGUACCAGAAAGGGAGGCUAAAUUACGG